UUGUCCAAAUUAUAGAAAGAUCACAACAAAAAUGUUCUGUGUGCUUUCUUCUUAGACUGGCUAGUAAUUUUUUUUAAUUCAUAUUAAUGAUUAUUUUUAUCUGUGUAUGACAAAAAAUAUUUAGUUUCCAAUACAUUGAGAAACCUAAUAUACACUAUAUUGUAUUGUAUAAGUAUUCACUCACCUGCCUUUGACUCUUCUGGGAAGGCUGUCCACAAGGUUUAGGAGUGUGUUUAUGGGAAUUUUUGACCAUUCUUCCAGAAAUGCAUUUGUGAGGUCACAUACUGAUGGUGUACAACAAGACACGGCUCUCAGUCUCCACUAUAUUUAAUCUCAAAGGUGUUCUAUCGGGUUGAGGUCAGGCUCUGUAUAGGCCAGUGAAGUUCAUCCACAUCAAACUCUUCCAUCCAUGUCCUUAUGGACCUUGCUUUGUGCUCUGGUGCUCAGUCAUGUUGGAGGAGGCAGGGGCCAGCUCCAAACUGUUCCCACAAAGUUGAGAAAAUGGAAUUGUCCAAGAUGUCUAGUCUGUGGAAACACUCAGAGCUCCGUUCACUGGAACUAAGGGGCCAAGCCCAGCUCCUGAAAAACAAA